rnacentral:tRNA from 1 species
GGGGCUGUAGCUCAGCGGUGGAGCACUGAUUUGCAUACCAUGCAGAAAGUCCUAGGUGCAAUUCCUAGCACCCUCA